CAUGGAAAUGUAGGAUGUUGAAAAGAAGGAAUUGCCUGAGGAAUCUAAGGAUGAAUGUGUUUUGAUGCCUUCAAUUCACCAAGGAAGUUCUGACUGUCACCAGCCUUACAGUGAUGACAAAUUUGCAUUUGAUGAACCAGAAGUGGGCCUUGGUCUGGAUGGAGCUUGUGGUUUCUCCCAUGCUAAAGAGGAUGAAAUCCCAACCAAUCUCCCAGACAAUCAAAAUGAUCAUGAGCAAGUAAAUGGACACAAUUUAACAUUUCCCAGCGUGAACCUGCAUGAUGUUGAAAAGAAGGAGGUACUUCAGCAAUCCCAAGAUGAGUGUGUUUCAGUACCUUCAACUGUCCAGGAAGAUUCUGCCUGCAACCAGCCUUACGGGGAUGCGAAAUCUGCAUAUGAGGAAGAGAAAGUGGGCUUUGCUCUGGAUGGAGCCUGUGGUUGCUCCCAAGCUAAAGAGGAUGAAAUUGAUCUCUCAGAAAACCAGAAUGAUCACGAUGACCUAAAAGGACCAGAGGCUAUUUCCCUGAGGUUCAGCAGAGAGAUGCCACAGAUGAUAGAGAACGGUGUCCCAUGGGAUUCACUGAAUGAUACGAUUUGACUUACUUGGUUCUUCCUGGCCUGCCAGACUCUUUCUGGCCUUAUAGGAGCACUGCCGUCUCACCACUUGAGGAAGAGGAUGUCUCUUA
ensembl:lncRNA